rnacentral:rRNA from 1 species
ACACAUGCAAGUCGAGGGGCAGCAUGAACUUAGCUUGCUAAGUUUGAUGGCGACCGGCGCACGGGUGAGUAACACGUAUCCAACCUGCCGAUGACUCGGGGAUAGCCUUUCGAAAGAAAGAUUAAUACCCGAUGGCAUAGUUCUUCCGCAUGGUAGAACUAUUAAAGAAUUUCGGUCAUCGAUGGGGAUGCGUUCCAUUAGGUUGUUGGCGGGGUAACGGCCCACCAAGCCUUCGAUGGAUAGGGGUUCUGAGAGGAAGGUCCCCCACAUUGGAACUGAGACACGGUCCAAACUCCUACGGGAGGCAGCAGUGAGGAAUAUUGGUCAAUGGACGAGAGUCUGAACCAGCCAAGUAGCGUGAAGGAUGACUGCCCUAUGGGUUGUAAACUUCUUUUAUACGGGAAUAAAGUGAGGCACGUGUGCCUUUUUGUAUGUACCGUAUGAAUAAGGAUCGGCUAACUCCGUGCCAGCAGCCGCGGUAAUACGGAGGAUCCGAGCGUUAUCCGGAUUUAUUGGGUUUAAAGGGAGCGUAGGCGGACGCUUAAGUCAGUUGUGAAAGUUUGCGGCUCAACCGUAAAAUUGCAGUUGAUACUGGGUGUCUUGAGUACAGUAGAGGCAGGCGGAAUUCGUGGUGUAGCGGUGAAAUGCUUAGAUAUCACGAAGAACUCCGAUUGCGAAGGCAGCCUGCUGGACUGUAACUGACGCUGAUGCUCGAAAGUGUGGGUAUCAAACAGGAUUAGAUACCCUGGUAGUCCACACAGUAAACGAUGAAUACUCGCUGUUUGCGAUAUACAGUAAGCGGCCAAGCGAAAGCGUUAAGUAUUCCACCUGGGGAGUACGCCGGCAACGGUGAAACUCAAAGGA